UAUAUAAGCAGCCUACUCCAGGACUUACUUGACUAAAUGCUAUCCAUACACAAUUCAACAGAGAUUCUCAAUCUGAGGUCCACGGAACCCUGAGGAGCCACCAAGUCUUCAUAAGGGGUCCACAAAGGCUUGAAGAAAUGUUAUGAUUUAAAUCUUGAAACAAGAAAUCCAAAGCUGCAAUGCAAGAUAGCCAAUGCAAGUCUCAAAUAGCUAUCAACUCCCUGCCAGCAGUGUUGACAUGGAUUAAGGCAUCUACAGAUUGAUGGCCAAAUGCUAGAUUAAUUCACUUUUUAAGGCUUGAGUUUGUGCCCUCUUUGCACUUGCUGCAGUAGCUGUACUAACUUAGGUUGUUUUUUUUUUUAAGAAACUUCUCAGGAGUUUCUCAAUAAAAAGAUCAGUGAU